AUUGAACGCUGGCGGCAGGCCUAACACAUGCAAGUCGAACGAGUGGCGGACGGGUGAGUAAUGUCUGGGAAACUGCCCGAUGGAGGGGGAUAACUACUGGAAACGGUAGCUAAUACCGCAUACCAUCGGAUGUGCCCAGAGGGGAUUAGCUAGUGGGUGGGGUAAUGGCUCACCAAGGCGACGAUCCCUAGCUGGUCUGAGAGGAUGACCAGCCACACUGGGACUGAGACACGGUCCAUACGCCUACGGGAGGCAGCAGUGGGGAAUAUUGCGCAAUGGGGGGACCCCGGAUGCAGCCAUGCCGCGUGUAUGAAGAAGGCCUUCGGGUUGUAAAGUUUUUUCGGUGGGGAGGCGUUACUUACAGAAGAAGCACCGGCUAACUCCGUGCCAGCAGCCGCGGUAAUAC
rnacentral:rRNA from 1 species